rnacentral:rRNA from 1 species
ACUCCUACGGGAGGCAGCAGUGGGGAAUAUUGCACAAUGGGCGCAAGCCUGAUGCAGCCAUGCCGCGUGUGUGAAGAAGGCCUUCGGGUUGUAAAGCACUUUCAGUUGUGAGGAAGGUGGUGUCGUUAAUAGCGGCAUCAUUUGACGUUAGCAACAGAAGAAGCACCGGCUAACUCCGUGCCAGCAGCCGCGGUAAUACGGAGGGUGCGAGCGUUAAUCGGAAUUACUGGGCGUAAAGCGCAUGCAGGUGGUUUGUUAAGUCAGAUGUGAAAGCCCGGGGCUCAACCUCGGAACUGCAUUUGAAACUGGCAGACUAGAGUACUGUAGAGGGGGUAGAAUUUCAGGUGUAGCGGUGAAAUGCGUAGAGAUCUGAAGGAAUACGGUGGCGAAGGCGGCCCCCUGGACAGAUACUGACACUCAGAUGCGAAAGCGU